rnacentral:rRNA from 1 species
GACGAACGCUGGCGGCGUGCUUAACACAUGCAAGUCGAGCGGAGCGGCGAACGGGUGAGUAACGCGUGAGUAACUGCCCCCCUCCCUGGGAUAACAGUUGGCAACGGCUGCUAAUACCGGAUAGUGGGGUAUGACUCGAUGCCUCUCAGCGUGGUGGUUGGGUAGUGGCCUACCAAGGCGACGACGGGUAGCAGGCCUGAGAGGGCGACAGGCCACAUUGGGCUGAGAUACGGCCCAAACCCCUACGGGAGGCAGCAGUGGGGAAUAUUGCACAAUGGGGGAAGCCCUGAUGCAGCAACGCCGCGUGCGGGAUGACGGCCUUCGGGUUGUAAACCGCUUUCAGCCAUGACGCGGUAGUGGCAGAAGAAGCACCGGCUAGCUACGUGCCAGCAGCCGCGGUAAUAC